ensembl:lncRNA
GAAAACACCACCCUUUCCUUUGCAUGGUCACAAAUUCCACUCUCCCUGUAGCCAGGGCAGUGCCGCAGCACCUCCUCGACCACAUCUCACCGCAUUCGACCUUUCCGCCUUCUCUUCUCAGUCUUCCACGGAACCUUUUCUGACCCAUUUUUUGAGGGUUUUCAUUUUUUUUUUUUUUUUUUUUUUUUAACGGUAAAUACGGAUAGGACCGGCCGCACAGGAGGGCGAAAGAGGGGACAGGGGCUGUUUCAAUGUUGUCUACCGAUGACUUGGCGAUUUGCUCUGGUUGAACUAGGGAUGCCGUUUUGGCUUCUUUUUCGAGUUUGUAGAUUUUUUGCGGGCAACGGAAUUGGCCUAGUCUGCACCCUAAGCCUGACUCCAUAUUGCCGCCAGGUGUAGGCUGACUCCGGUACGGACAUCGAACUGGUCAGCACCAUAGACAGACGUCCUCCACCGGUACGCUGCUUUACUAUGCCCUUUUUUCUUCUGUCCGCUCUCUUAGUUCUUUUUCAGUCCCAACUUUUUCCAAACGUGUUUUUAAACUGCAUUUUAUUUACGAUCGAGUCUUGCCAUUUCUUCUUAGUUUAAAAGUCGCGACAGCUCUCCACAUUGCUGUAAAAAUAAGCUCCGAAAUCGCUUCAUAAGCAAACACUUUUGUAAUAUUUUACUUUUUGAUUUUAAGUAAGAAAUACCAGAGCACUACAUUAGGUUCAUUUCUGAAAUAAAUGUAGGUCAACUGCGGUCAAAGAUUUAACAUACUUAAAAAAUAAAAAAAAGUAAUUUUGCUGGUUUGGUUGUUGUCAGAUAUUUUUGUCCACGUACUGUUUGACGAGUCACAACUCAUUCGUUUCCAGUUUGUAAAAAAUCGGCAAGCAAAUAACAGCAAUGGGUUUUUCCUGGGUGGUCGUACGAUGCCAUGGAAACACAUUUGAAAUGGAGUGGCACUGUACCAUGAAUCAUGGCAUUUCUAAU